rnacentral:rRNA from 1 species
UGAGUACGAGAUGCUACGGCGUCGAAGCAGUGUAUGUCAGACUUCCAAGAAAAGCUCGCAAUGUCUUAAAUAAAUAAUGCCUGUACCAUAACCGACACAGGUGGGUAGGUAGAGUAUACUAAGGGGCGCGAGAUAACUCUCUCUAAGGAACUCGGCAAAAUGACUCCGUAACUUCGGGAGAAGGAGUGCCUUAUUUAUAAGGUUGCAAUAACAAGAUCCAAGCAACUGUUUACCAAAAACACAGGUCUCCGCUAAGUCGUAAGACGAUGUAUGGGGGCUGACGCCUGCCCAGUGCCAGAAGGUUAAAGAAGUCGGUUAGCAUUAGCGAAGCUGAUAACUGAAGCCCUGGUGAACGGCGGCCGUAACGAUAACGGUCCUAAGGUAGCGAAAUUCCUUGUCGGGUAAGUUCCGACCCGCACGAAAGGCGUAAUGAUUUGGAUACUGUCUCGGAGAGGGGCUCGGUGAAAUAGACUUGUCUGUGAAGAUGCGGACUACCUGCACCAGGACAGAAAGACCCUAUGAAGCUUUACUGUAACUUGAAAUUGAAAUUGGACUUUAUUUGCGCAGUAUAGGUGGGAGGCUUUGAGAUUAUUCUUGCGGGAAUAGUGGAGCCAUCAGUGAGAUACCACUCUUGUAAUGUUAGAUUUCUAACUUUGUAUCAUAAUCUGGUCAAAGGACAGUUUCAGGCGGGCAGUUUGACUGGGGCGGUCGCCUCCCAAAUGGUAACGGAGGCGUACAAAGGUUUCCUCUGAACGUGUAGAAAUCGUAUCUAGAGUGUAAAGGCAUAAGGAAGCUUGACUGUGAGACCUACAAGUCGAGCAGGGACGAAAGUCGGUCUUAGUGAUCUGACGGUGCUGAGUGGAAAGGCCGUCACUCAACGGAUAAAAGUUACUCUAAGGAUAACAGGCUGAUCUCCCCCAAGAGUUCACAUCGACGGGGAGGUUUGGCACCUUGAUGUCGGCUCAUCGCAUCCUGGGGCGGUAGUACGUCCCAAGGGUUGGGCUGUUCGCCCAUGAAAGCGGUACGCGAGCUGGGUUCAGAACGUCGUGAGACAGUUCGGUCCAUAUCCGGUGUAGGCGUUAGAAUAUUGAGAGGAGCCUUCUUUAGUACGAGAGGACCGAGAAGGACAUACCUCUGGUGUACCAGUUAUCGUGCCAACGGUAAACGCUGGGUAGCUAUGUAUGGAAAGGAUAACCGCUGAAAGCAUCUAAGUGGGAAGCCCACCUCAAGAUAAGUAUUCUGGUGUAAGGUCACGGGGAGACGACCCGUAGAUAGGCACGA